GCAGCCUUUGCCCAGACACAUUCUUAUGCAGCACAGGAGGUGUUGGCCUCCUUCUAGCUCCACCAAGUUCAGCACAACACCUCCCAAACACGUGUAAGCCUCCCACGAGAAGCUGAAUUGGACCCCAACCGUCACCCAUCGAGCGAAGCUUCACUAUUGAUCUUCACUGUCAGUGAGAGAUAUAAAGCAGGGAUUCUAUGAUAGGUGUGGAGGGACACCACUCAACAUCACCAUCCAAGACAGCAAUCCCGCGGGAAACUGAACACAGAAGCCCAUCA